rnacentral:lncRNA from 1 species
UUACGUAAGGUUUUCUUUUAUUUAAAAGAUCAUUCACAAAAUACCAUAUCCAUAGAUUUACUUUCUGUCAUAUAGCUGAAUGUGUUAAGUGUUUGGAAUUCCAUUCUUACAUUUAAAAGUCAACUGGAUUGCCCAGCAGUUUAGAUGCAUGUGUUUUGUUCUUUAUCUUAUCCACAUUGAAGAUGUAAGUAGGUCAUCUGAAAGCCUCGGGUUUGAUUACACCACAUAAUGCAUGUCUUUCUGAAGUUAAGUGUUGGUGUUACACAAAUGGUUCUUAUCUCAGAAGCAGAGAAGCUGACAGGUGGAAGGAAGGAGAGAGAGUUCUGUGGAUUGCUGAGGCCUUGUAACAAGACACAGUAGGAAAAGCCCAGGAUGACGGCUGGUGACCAAAUACUAAGCACAUUCCGCUGGGUGCCCCAGGCCACCCUGGCCCUGCCAUCACCUGGCGAGGGCCUCUUUCCCAGGCUCCUGCUGCCGGCCGCCCCCAAACUGCUCCCCAUAGGACAGACUGGGACUUGGGUACUGAAGGAUUUUUCAUCUGUUCACACGCAGGCGUUCAAGCUCAAAAGCCUAACCCCUAGCACUCCCACGUAAGUGCUGAACCCUGCACAUGGGAACAAUCCAGUGUGUCCCCAAGAUGUGGCCGCAGACCUAGGCAGCUGCAGUCCUCUACUGCUAUCUGAAGGUUCCUGACAGCUCUGCACAGUACAAUUUAUCAAAGGAAAUGAGUAAAGUGCCAGAUUCUAGACCCAUUUUGGCUCUGAACUGAAGGGGAGGUGGGAAGCACAGUAUCUCAUUAUGUUGCCUAUACUAGGAACAGAUCCACACAACACACAGGCAACAGGGAUGGGGGGAAACGCUGUGUCAGCGCCGCAGUCAGCCCAGUGCAGCGCCAGCACCACCCCCUCCACCCCCAAAGCGCCUUGGCCCAGCAGAAAAGAAACCCGCUGGCCGUUCACUGCACCCGGCCAGAGAGGCGAGCCUCCACCACGCACGGCGAAAGGGUUUUUGUUGGAAGCCCCAGCAAUACAGAACUCAACAUGCAGGUCAGAAGAGAAGCACUGAGGGAAUGAAAGGAAACUCCUGGAGUUGGGCCAGUGUCUAAAGUAAAGAGAAAGCAAAGGAAAAAUGACGCAGCACCGCAGCCCAAACGCCCCCCCACGGCGGCCACCUCUGCUCCUCCGAGGAACCCCGUGUGCUGCUGGGAAAACAAGGAGCAGGAGAAAAAGGACAGAAGGAAAAUGGGGAAGCAGCGGAAGAAAGAAAAAAACGCACAAACAGGCACUAGAUAGAUACAGCAAAGCCCAGAAUGUACUAAAAACCACUUGUUAACAGCUGACAUGCACUCACAAGCUGUGUUUCCGCUGUGAGGAGGCCAAUGGCAGGCGCAGGAGUGGCGGCUGCAGGACGGCUGCCCGGGGACUCACCAGGCUGUGGUCCUGCUCUAACCCCCCACGCCCCAUUCCCUCCCAACCGCAGGCUCAUUUUUGCUCCUUUUGAACAACUUCCUCUCUAGGCCUGGCACCCCCGAAGAUAGCAGAGUUGGGAUUGGCUACUUGAUUGAGGGGCGUCGCGACUGUUCGAGGUUUAAGCUGGAGUCGUGGUCUCUGUGCGCUUUCCUCUUCUGUGGGUUCUCUGAAAUCCAUGUUGGAUCCACCGAGGGGAGGGCCAUCUCCGAAGCGGCUGCCCAUGGGGGGGCCUGUUCGCCGGUCGCCUGGGCGACUACCUCCCCUGCCCCCUAAGAAGUCAUCCCUGAAGCCUCUGUCAUCUGGUCCACCUUUUCUGAAUCCAAAGCCACCUUUAUCUUGUUUUCUGCCUUCUGCAAUGUCCACACGAAGUGACCGAUCGCCCAACAGUGCACCAUCGUAUGUCAAGGCUUCCUUAAGGGAAUCCACUUCAUCGAAUUCUACAUAGCAGAAUCCUUUAAAUUUAUCUGUGUCUUUGUCUCUGACUAGCCGUACACUCCUUAUGCUGAGAUCCUUAAAGAUAGCAUCUAUGUCGCCCCGAACCGUAUUGAAAGGUAGAUUUCCUACGUAUGCUGUGUAGGGGGGCUCUGUGGGCAACUCCUUCUGGCUACGGGAACCAUGGCCACCAGCACUGCCGCGGGACC